rnacentral:tRNA from 1 species
GGUCGGAAGUUCAAGUCUUCCCAGGCCCACCACACUCAUCGAGUGAGCAUUCGUCUUCUGGUUACGGGGCCAUAGCUCAGCUGGGAGAGCGCGUGCUUUGCAAGCAUGAGGUCGUCGGUUCGAUCCCGUCUGGCUCCACCAGAUGGUUUGAUCACCGACUACUCAUACCGUCGUCCGCGAAACAUCACUUCGCACUUACUAGUCCGGAUGGACAGUAAGCUGCGUGAUUUCUGACAUCGUAAAGAGGAGAUCGAUCCGAGUUGGAUCGGGCAACAAGUAAUUGUUGCGCGAUACUUCAUUAUCUCCGGAUCAUUUCGGCGCUCGUGCGUCUUCCAGGGUAGCUCACAAGGCUGCGUCUGAAGGACACGCGAGUUGUAAAUGAUCCUUUUAGCGAAGCUUGACCGCCUCGCUAUCGGAACGAUCUUACGAAGCAAGCUGGUCUUUCUAAUCAUUGUCCGGCUGCAGAUAGCGUUCAUCGAGGGCGCGUGCCUUAGAGACUUAGGUUUCUUGGCAAUUUUGCAGACAACAUUCUGCCGAGUGUGUGGACAUUGAUAAUGAGAGC